AAAAAAUAUGUUACUUUAACGUGUUAUAAUAAAAAUAAAUUUUAAUUAUGACAUGCAUCUUAACAUUUAUAUAAAUAUAUAUCAUAACCUAAAUAUAAAUAAUUUAACAACUUAAAUUAGAAAAAAAAAUUAGAAAAAAUAAAAAUCCCGGGCAUAGCCCGGGUUAAUCCCUAGUCUUAUUAUAUCUCUAUAAUAUUAUUUGACAAGUCAGUUUCCUAUGUGUCGCUCUCGCGUUAAUUCUUACGGCGGUUGAUUACAGAGAUACCCUUAAUAAACUAAAAAUAUUAUAUCUAAUUGCCAUUAUUAAAUUUUUAUUUAUUUUUAAUUUAGUUUUCCUUUCCUUUAUUAUCAUUCCAAAUAAUAUAUAUAAUAAAAGUAAGCAUUAAUUAAACUAUAAAUUUUUAAAAAUGAAAUAUGUAUCAAGAAUAAUUUGAUUUCAUAAAGAAGGAAAGUUCACAAUAAAAAAAAAGGAAAAAUAAAUAUUUUAAAAACGAAAAUAUAUCACAUACAAAAUUUGAUUUCAUAAAAAAGGAAAGUUCACAAAAAUAAUCAUAAUAUUAGAAAUAUAUUUCUUUUAAAACAUAAUCUUAAAUAACAUAAUAUAUAUUUUAAAAGUAAUAAAAAUCUAAUUAUAAGAAUAAUUUUAGUAAUAACAACAAAAAAGUAGAUGUAAUAUAAUAUACCCAAAUAAUAAUCAAACCGACUAGACACUGUAUAUCUAAAAUCACAUGUCUAAUUAAAAUAACAUAAUAUUAUUUAUACAAGAUCAUACAUAUAAAUUAUAAAAUAAAAUAGUAAUCAAUAUUGUAAUAUAUUUAUAUGUUGAUAUUUAUAUCCGUGUAUGAGCACGGAAAAAUCACCUAGUAAAGUAGUGUUCUCUCUUUUCUCUUUCGAGAUACGUCAGAUUCCACGUAGGAAAGUCGAGUUACCCCAGCACGACACCUGUCAUGGAAGAUCGAAACGCACAGUUUCAUUUAAAAUUGAUAGUGAGUUAAUGAUAUUUGGGUCCGAAACCAGAAAAAAUAGGCCCAUAAUGCCUUCAACUCUUCCCGACAUACAAUUUAGGGUUAAUCGGCUCUCGAACUCUCGGAUUCUGUAUACAAACAAUGGCGGUUCUGAUAUUGCCUAAGACUCGAUGAUUCAUCGUUAAUCUUCCCGUUGGACUCUGAUCAUGUCGUUUUAGUCUCCCUGAUUCACCUCAGAACCAUUACAAGUCGCAUUGAUUCAAAUCAUUAACCAAAACUUAACUCUUCCUUUUCAUUACAACCACAAUCUUGAAUUCAAUGAGUCUUAUCCAUCUUGCAUGCGACGAUUCUCCCCUAUAAAAAGGGUGGAGGUGUGGGUGGCUGCCGUAGAGUUUUCAAAUAUGGUUUACAAAUUUUUUUUUUUGUAAUCUGGUUAAAUUAAGGGACGUUAAGAGGGGGAAAUCCGGGAGAGGUGGGGGAAUCUUGCCAUUGAGGAGUAUCGUAGCUUGAAGAAUCACACGAAAAUGAAGACUUUUUAAUCAAAGAGAUGGACAUGAGGAGAUGCAAGAGGAAGAACAUGGAGAUUGGGAGGCGGUGGUCUUCCUCUCCACAAUCUUGCUAACUUGAAGUCAAAUAACGGUCACAAAAAUGCUUUCAUAAGAGACUCUUACUACAUAGUUGUUAGCUACUCUUUUCUGAUGCGAGGAUUGGGAGGAACCCUUGCUUUAAGAUGAUGAUAUGAUUGCUACAGUGUGUAUGUAGUAAUUUUUUAUGUAUCUAAUAUGUGUAUGUAGUAUGUAAGAUGAUUAGAAGAAAGUAGAGCAUAUCCUAAUUAGUAACUGACUAUGUCAAUGGUGUUUAGAAUCAGAAGAAGACUAUUUUGGAGCUCCUUAUGAUGAGAAUCUGACUAAAAGCUUGAAGUAAAGAUUGAAGGAGUUUUGUUUCUUUUGCGAUGAUCUCUUAACUUUUCUCUUUCCAGAAAAUAAAUAUGAGUUCUACAAGAAUGCCAAGUAUCUGAGCAAGUUUAGGAAGUCAACGAAUCAGAACAUUUUUUGUGAGAAGGAUGAGAUGAAGCAGUGGUACUUUUAAGCAGAUGAUCAUAGUAAACAACUUUUGUGUAGUUUUAUCCUAAAAAAAACACGAAACGGUACUGAAGCAUACCAUGGACUUUAUAAUUUACACAUGCUUUUACAUUUUAUGUCUUUUCGUUCUCCUUAGAAGAUCAAGAGCAAAACAAAAGAUGGCUUUUUCUCUAAUCUGGUUACGUAAAAACUUAAUGUUAACAACAGU